UUAAAGCGAUUCUCCCACCUCAGCCUUCUGAGUAGCUGGGAUUACAUGCACCCGCCAUCAUGCCUGGCUAAUUUUUUUAGACAGAGUUUCACUUUGCUGCUCAGGCUGGAGUGCAGUGGUGCGAUCUCAGCUCACUGCAACCUCCGCCUCCCGGGUUCAAGCAAUUCUCAUGCCUCAGCUUUCUGAGUAGCUGGGAUUACAGGUGCCUGCCACCAUGCCCGGCUGAUUUUUUGUAUUUAGUAGAAAUGGGGUUUCACCAUCUUGCCCAGGCUGGUCUCAAACUCCAGAGCUCAGGCAAUCUGCCUGUCUCAGCCUCCCAAAGUGCUAGGAUUACAGGCAUGAGCCACUGCACCGGGCCAUGCCCGGCUAAUUUUUGUAGAGACAGGGUUGCACCAUGUUGGUCAGGCUGGUCUUGAACUCCUGACCUCAGGUGAUCUGCCCGCCUUGGCCUCCCAAAGUGCUGGGAUACAGGCAUGACGAGGUUUUAGGUAAUCUGUUUGGCGGAAUGCAGGAGAAUGAAAUUCACUGGAAAUGCUGUACAAAAGGAACUGAGUCCACAGGUCAAGGUAUCUUCAGCGA
rnacentral:lncRNA from 1 species